UACGGGGGGGGGCAAGCGUUGUUCGGAAUUACUGGGCGUAAAGGGCUCGUAGGCGGCCAACUAAGUCGGAUGUGAAAUCCCAAGGCUCAACCUUGGAACUGCCUUUGAUACUGGGGAUCUUGAGUCCGGGAGAGGUGAGUGGAACUGCGAGUGUAGAGGUGAAAUUCGUAGAUAUUCGCAAGAACACCAGUGGCGAAGGCGGCUCACUGGCCCGGUACUGACGCUGAGGUGCGAAAGCGUGGGGAGCAAACAGG
rnacentral:rRNA from 1 species